UAAUGCAUAGGAAUCUGCCCGAUAGUGGGGGAUAACCUGGGGAAACCCAGGCUAAUACCGCAUACGUCCUACGGGAGAAAGGGGGCUCCGGCUCCCGCUAUUGGAUGAGCCUAUGUCGGAUUAGCUAGUUGGUGAGGUAACGGCUCACCAAGGCCACGAUCCGUAGCUGGUCUGAGAGGAUGAUCAGCCACAUCGGGACUGAGACACGGCCCGAACUCCUACGGGAGGCAGCAGUGGGGAAUAUUGGACAAUGGGGGCAACCCUGAUCCAGCCAUGCCGCGUGUGUGAAGAAGGCCCUCGGGUUGUAAAGCACUUUCAGCGAGGAAGAACGCCUAGCGGUUAAUACCCGCUAGGAAAGACAUCACUCGCAGAAGAAGCACCGGCUAACUCCGUGCCAGCAGCCGCGGUAAUACGGAGGGUGCAAGCGUUAAUCGGAAUUACUGGGCGUAAAGCGCGCGUAGGUGGCUUGAUAAGCCGGUUGUGAAAGCCCCGGGCUCAACCUGGGAACGGCAUCCGGAACUGUCGAGCUAGAGUGCAGGAGAGGAAGGUAGAAUUCCCGGUGUAGCGGUGAAAUGCGUAGAGAUCGGGAGGAAUACCAGUGGCGAAAGGCGGCCUUCUGGACUGACACUGACACUGAGGUGCGAAAGCGUGGG
rnacentral:rRNA from 1 species